rnacentral:tRNA from 1 species
GCCGGGGUGGCUGAGUGGACAAAAGCGGCAGGCUCGAGACCUGUUGCUCCAUCUGGAGCGCUUGGGUUCGAAUCCCAACCCCGGCG